rnacentral:lncRNA from 1 species
AGCCUGCCUUGUGCUUUAUAUAACUGCACCAUUUUACACCCGUGUUUAAGAAUCUUUAACUCAACAGAAAUAAUGAGUAUCCGAGUAUCCAGUGAUUUCUGUAUGCUAUGUAGGAAUUUACGUGAUGUUGUUGAGAAAACUCAGGACGUCUAGUAACCUUACAUUUCGAGUAAGUGUCAAAGUGAGGCGGCAAGAAAAGUUAUCGACUUCUUCAAUAAACGUACCUGUGCAGCUUCAUGAAGACUGAAUGAAUCAUGGAGGACACGCAAGCAUUCAGAGAUGGGGAUUUUUCUCCAAGAUGCAGUCAAUUUCAGGGGGACAGAUCAAACUUACCAGAGCCCAGCUGUGUGUCCAUGAAGAGUAACUGGUCUAUGAAAGAACCGUUAAAAUUUGAUGGAAGACACAUCACCCGAUCUGAGGUACAACAGUUUUACCAACCAAAUUACAGCACAAA